UUAAGCGAAUAAGCGUACACGGUGGAUGCCUAGGCAAUCAGAGGCGAUGAAGGACGUGCUAAUCUGCGAAAAGCGUCGGUAAGGUGAUAUGAACCGUUAUACCCGACGAUAUCCGAAUGGGGAAACCCAGUAUCCAAUGGAUACUAUCAUUAACUGAAUCCAUAGGUUAAUGAGGCGAACCGGGAGAACUGAAACAUCUCAGUACCCCGAGGAAAAGAAAUCAACCGAGAUUCCCCUAGUAGCGGCGAGCGAACGGGGAGCAGCCCAGAGUCUUAAUCAAUAGCAGUGUCAGGAGAACGGUCUGGAAAGUCCGGCAGUAAAGGGUGAUAGCCCCGUAUCUGAAGAUGCUGUUAUUGUGAACUCGACGAGUAGGGCGGGACACGUGUUAUCCUGUCUGAAUAUGGGGGGACCAUCCUCCAAGGCUAAAUACUCCUGAUUGACCGAUAGUGAACCAGUACCGUGAGGGAAAGGCGAAAAGAACCCCGGCGAGGGGAGUGAAAAAGAACCUGAAACCGUGUACGUACAAGCAGUAGGAGCCUCUUUAUGGGGUGACUGCGUACCUUUUGUAUAAUGGGUCAGCGACUUAUAUUCUGUAGCAAGGUUAACCGUAUAGGGGAGCCGUAGGGAAACCGAGUCUUAACUGGGCGAAUGAGUUGCAGGGUAUAGACCCGAAACCCGGUGAUCUAUCCAUGGGCAGGUUGAAGGUUGGGUAACACUAACUGGAGGACCGAACCGACUAAUGUUGAAAAAUUAGCGGAUGACUUGUGGAUGGGGGUGAAAGGCCAAUCAAACCGGGAGAUAGCUGGUUCUCCCCGAAAGCUAUUUAGGUAGCGCCUCGUGAAUUCAUCUUCGGGGGUAGAGCACUGUUUCGACUAGGGGGUCAUCCCGACUUACCAACUCGAUGCAAACUGCGAAUACCGAAGAAUGUUAUCACGGGAGACACACGGCGGGUGCUAACGUCCGUCGUGAAGAGGGAAACAACCCAGACCGCCAGCUAAGGUCCCAAAGUCAUGGUUAAGUGGGAAACGAAGUGGGAAGGCUCAGACAGCCAGGAUGUUGGCUUAGAAGCAGCCAUCAUUUAAAGAAAGCGUAAUAGCUCACUGGUCGAGUCGGCCCGCGCGGAAGAUGUAACGGGGCUAAACCAUGCACCGAAGCUGCGGCAGCGACACAAAGUGUUGUUGGGUAGGGGAGCGUUCUGUAAGCCUGCGAAGGUGUACUGUGAGGUAUGCUGGAGGUAUCAGAAGUGCGAAUGCUGACAUAAGUAACGAUAAUGCGGGUGAAAAACCCGCACGCCGGAAGACCAAGGGUUCCUGUCCAACGUUAAUCGGGGCAGGGUGAGUCGACCCCUAAGGCGAGGCUGAAAAGCGUAGUCGAUGGGAAACGGGUUAAUAUUCCCGUACUGGUGGUAACUGCGAUGGGGGAACGGAGAAGGCUAGGUUGUCCGGGCGACGGUCGUCCCGGUUCAAGCAGGUAGGCAGAGUGAUUAGGCAAAUCCGGUCACUUAAUGCUGAGAUGUGAUGACGAACCACCAAGGUGGUGAAGCAAUUGAUGCCCCGCUUCCAGGAAAAGCCUCUAAGCUUCAGGUUACCAACAAUCGUACCCCAAACCGACACAGGUGGUCAGGUAGAGAAUACUCAGGCGCUUGAGAGAACUCGGGUGAAGGAACUAGGCAAAAUGGUGCCGUAACUUCGGGAGAAGGCACGCUGGCGGUAGGUAAAGUCCCUCGCGGACGGCGCUGAAGCCAGUCGAAGAUACCAGCUGGCUGCAACUGUUUAUUAAAAACACAGCACUGUGCAAACACGAAAGUGGACGUAUACGGUGUGACGCCUGCCCGGUGCUGGAAGGUUAAUUGAUGGGGUUAGCCGCAAGGCGAAGCUCCUGAUCGAAGCCCCAGUAAACGGCGGCCGUAACUAUAACGGUCCUAAGGUAGCGAAAUUCCUUGUCGGGUAAGUUCCGACCUGCACGAAUGGCGUAAUGAUGGCCAGGCUGUCUCCACCCGAGACUCAGUGAAAUUGAACUCGCUGUGAAGAUGCAGUGUACCCGCGGCAAGACGGAAAGACCCCGUGAACCUUUACUAUAGCUUGACACUGAACAUUGAGCCUUGAUGUGUAGGAUAGGUGGGAGGCUUUGAAGUGUGGACGCCAGUCUGCAUGGAGCCAACCUUGAAAUACCACCCUUUAACGUUUGAUGUUCUAACCUAGGCCCAUAAACUGGGUCGGGGACCGUGUCUGGUGGGUAGUUUGACUGGGGCGGUCUCCUCCUAAAGAGUAACGGAGGAGCACGAAGGUUGGCUAAGCAUGGUCGGACAUCAUGCGGUUAGUGCAAAGGCAUAAGCCAGCUUGACUGCGAGAGUGACGGCUCGAGCAGGUACGAAAGUAGGUCUUAGUGAUCCGGUGGUUCUGAAUGGAAGGGCCAUCGCUCAACGGAUAAAAGGUACUCCGGGGAUAACAGGCUGAUACCGCCCAAGAGUUCAUAUCGACGGCGGUGUUUGGCACCUCGAUGUCGGCUCAUCACAUCCUGGGGCUGAAGUAGGUCCCAAGGGUAUGGCUGUUCGCCAUUUAAAGUGGUACGCGAGCUGGGUUUAGAACGUCGUGAGACAGUUCGGUCCCUAUCUGCCGUGGGCGUUGGAAGAUUGAGAGGGGUUGCUCCUAGUACGAGAGGACCGGAGUGAACGCACCACUGGUGUUCGGGUUGUCAUGCCAAUGGCAUUGCCCGGUAGCUAAGUGCGGAAGAGAUAACCGCUGAAAGCAUCUAAGCGGGAAACUUGCCUCGAGAUGAGUCUUCCCUGUCGCUUUAAGCGACCUAAAGGAACGUUUAAGACUAAGACGUUGAUAGGCUGGGUGUGUAAGCGUAGCGAUACGUUGAGCUAACCAGUACUAAUGAACCGUGAGGCUUAACC
rnacentral:rRNA from 1 species